UCCCAAACCACUGUAUUAAACACACAUAAAACACAAAAUGGUGCUUACAUAAAUAAGCAGUCUUCAGUGUAAUAUCAAUCCAAUGAUGAUAUGACAGAUAGAAACAUAGAAACAUAGAAUGUGACAGCAGAUAAGAACCCUAGGGCCAUCUAGUCUGCCCAAUUUUCUAAAUACUUUCAUUAGUCCCUGGCAUUAUCUUAAGUCUAGGAUAGACUUAUGCCUAUCCCACGCACUAUAGUCACCAGAGCAACUACAGCUUAAUGUAGUUGUGCUGGUGAAUAUAAUAGCUCCCUUCAGGCAUU